rnacentral:rRNA from 1 species
CAAUAGCGUAUAUUAAAGUUGUUGCAGUUAAAAAGCUCGUAGUUGGAUUUCUGUCUUUGUUGUGCGGUCCACCGCGAGGUGAGCACUGUGCGAUGGGGACUUCCUCUCGAUGUUGUGCCGUGUUCUUAACUGAGUGCGGUAUUGACUCGGGACCUUUACUUUGAAAAAAUUAGAGUGUUCAAAGCAGGCCUACGCUUGAAUACAUUAGCAUGGAAUAAUUGAAUAGGACUUCGGUUCUAUUUUGUUGGUUUCUAGGACCGAAGUAAUGAUUAAUAGGGACAGUUGGGGGCAUUAGUAUUUAAUUGUCAGAGGUGAAAUUCUUGGAUUUAUGAAAGACUAACUACUGCGAAAGCAUUUGCCAAGGAUGUUUNCAUUA